rnacentral:lncRNA from 1 species
GGGAUCUCACUUGCUACUGGGGUUGUUUUUUGUUUGUUUUUUGUUUUUGUUUCCAACUCUUCUUUAAAAAUAGUCUAGUUUUAUUUUUGUAAAAUAUCAUACAGAUGUAGAUGUUUCUACAAAUACGUAUCUUAAUGUACACUUGGGUGUCUGGGGGAGAAAGGAGAGGGAAAUUUCCCUCUUUCUGUAAGUCUGGAUUUCUUGGCUUCAUUACAAGGACACAUAUAGUGUUUGCAACACUUUUAAAGUGUAUGUAGAGCAGUCCUCCGUGCUGAGAUCCGUGUGGAAGAGAAGAGGUUCACAUUUAUGGAAUUACGAACCUGGUGGAAACAUUCUGUUGCAGGAUGGUGAUAGAACUUGUGUGAAGCCCAUCCACAUCCCUUGAAACAAAACGUUUCAAAACGUACAUGAAAGCUAAUUCCACUGGAAAAAAGAAGGGAAGCUCUGGUGGGCCAGAAAACCUCCCAGCAAGUACU